rnacentral:tRNA from 1 species
GUAAAAUGGCUGAAAAUUUAAGCAAUAAAUUGUAAAUUUAUUAAUGAAUUAAAUUCUUUUACU